rnacentral:tRNA from 1 species
UGCGGAUUAGUUGAGUUGGUAGAAUGCCGGGCUCAUAACCCGAAGGUCAUCGGUUCGAGUCCGAUAUCCGCUA